AGCCCUACUGUGGGCCCACUGCUACCCUGCAGACUCUGGUCAGGACCAGACUGGGCCAGCUGGAGUGGCCUCCCUCUGAUUGGGAGAGCGAGAAGGGGAAAUGGAGCCCCCAGGCACUCACAGAAACUCUCUCCCCUCUCUGUGGAGCAGGGUUCUUCCCUCUGCCCCCCAAAUUCCUUCAUAUGGGGCAGGACCUCUUUCCUUUGCACCCACUCCCCUCGGUCUACCCCCCCGCAUUCCCGCUGCGCCCAGGCAGAGCUCUCCCUGCCCCAUAUGGUGCAGAAAAGCCCUUGUGUCAGGGCCACAGCCCCACUGGAGCUCGGAAAGCUCCACUUUUGAGGAGGUGGGGGUGGGACAGAGGCUCAGGGCUAGCUUCACCUCCUGCCCUUUAUUCUCCCCUUGGCCCUUCUAUGGGGUCUCUGGGUGUGACCGGAAUAGGAGCCUCCUUCCAGCUGUCUUCUAGGCCCUGGGAUCUGGCACAGCCUCCCAGACGGGCGCUUCCUGUAGCUGAGCCACGUCAGGGAGCAGUGGGGACAGGUCACCUCGUCCCAGCAAUGCCGGCUCUCAAAGAGGCUUAGAUGGAAGACCCCAGUCCCUCAUGGAGAGGCGGUGUCCAGGAUCCUGGAGACUGUUUCCUGCUGCAGGAGGUUUGAGCGGGGAGAGAUCACUCACUGUCACGACCCAGGGGUCUCCAACCCGGGUCUGCAGGGUUCAUGGGAGCAGCCACGCUCCAACCCUCCACCUGGAAGCCUGCUGAAAAUUGCUUCCCUCGGACCCAUGAAGUUCAGCCCCAGUUUGAGGCUCCACUCCUGAGGUCCUAUUGGAGGAGUCCCAGGAAAGCUCACUGGCCCCCUGGCCCUGCGUAAGACAGCAGCAGGAACACGAAGCUGACUGAACACCAGGCCUGCUCCCGGUUCUGGACCGUGCGUUGCCUGGUUCUGCUGCCGCUCCCCUGGCUUGAUUUCCUGGCAUCUGAGUUGUGGUGGUGAUCGCACGUUUGUCUUUUGCUGCUGCUCUUCCAGUCUCCUGACCUGGCUGACUCUCCACUCCUGUCAUGUGAGUGUGGACUCUGGCUCUGACCAGUAGGUCUGGCUGCCCUUGACCCAGCCGUGACAUUGACUUUGGUACAACUUCUCCAUUGCCCCUUUCUGAUCUCCAGCAAGAUACACCAGUCCCUUGGCUCCCAAAGUCCCAGUUGCCCGCUAUUCAAGGGCUGAGGGGUAGUGCUUGUAUCGCCCCACCCCCACCCCAGCUGCUUUUCCUAGGGGAAUCUCCCUAGAGCAGAGGAGAAAUCUGCUCUUCUCUUAGGAUCAGUCCCACCCUGGCCUCAGCUCAGCUAUUUUGUUAACCUGGGGUCAGGCACCACUUUUGAAGCCCUUAGCGUGGGGGUGGAGGUGGGAGCAGAGGCUGAAGCUCCAGCAGUUUCCACCAAAGAACACCCCCCCUGUCUUUCUAUGGUCCGGCUAGGGCUCCCCAUCCAUCCUGGAGCUGAACACCAGAUGGGAGCUGAUAGAUUGUCCCUGGUGGGCCAUGUUCUUGUGUGUGAUGAGAGGGCCAGGAGCAGAUGCACCACGCCUGGCCAGGACUGGGCUAAACAGCCUGUAAUGCUAGACAGUCAGCCCGUGAGGCCAGUUUGCAGAAUGGGGAAGAGCCCUUUGGUGAGGCGUUGGAAGAUUCACCAUGAAGGUGGCAGCAGCGGCAGUGCCGGGUCCCCAUGGGCCAAGCCUCAACUCCUGCCAAUCCAGGCUAAUCUCCCCCUGCUCUCAGUGGGGCUUGGCUUUAGCUGCUGGGCCUGUGAGCCUAGACCAGGGGUCUCAAACUCACAUGACCACGAGGGCUGCAUGAGGACUAGCUCGUUGGCCUG